AUGGCAGGGCGCGUGCCUAAUACAUGCAAGUCGAGCGGACAGAUGGGAGCUUGCUCCCUGAUGUUAGCGGCGGACGGGUGAGUAACACGUGGGUAACCUGCCUGUAAGACUGGGAUAACUCCGGGAAACCGGGGCUAAUACCGGAUGCUUGAUUGAACCGCAUGGUUCAAUUAUAAAAGGUGGCUUUUAGCUACCACUUACAGAUGGACCCGCGGCGCAUUAGCUAGUUGGUGAGGUAACGGCUCACCAAGGCAACGAUGCGUAGCCGACCUGAGAGGGUGAUCGGCCACACUGGGACUGAGACACGGCCCAGACUCCUACGGGAGGCAGCAGUAGGGAAUCUUCCGCAAUGGACGAAAGUCUGACGGAGCAACGCCGCGUGAGUGAUGAAGGUUUUCGGAUCGUAAAACUCUGUUGUUAGGGAAGAACAAGUACCGUUCGAAUAGGGCGGUACCUUGACGGUACCUAACCAGAAAGCCACGGCUAACUACGUGCCAGCAGCCGCGGUAAUACGUAGGUGGCAAGCGUUGUCCGGAAUUAUUGGGCGUAAAGCGCGCGCAGGCGGUUUCUUAAGUCUGAUGUGAAAGCCCCCGGCUCAACCGGGGAGGGUCAUUGGAAACUGGGGAACUUGAGUGCAGAAGAGGAGAGUGGAAUUCCACGUGUAGCGGUGAAAUGCGUAGAGAUGUGGAGGAACACCAGUGGCGAAGGCGACUCUCUGGUCUGUAACUGACGCUGAGGCGCGAAAGCGUGGGGAGCGAACAGGAUUAGAUACCCUGGUAGUCCACGCCGUAAACGAUGAGUGCUAAGUGUUAGAGGGUUUCCGCCCUUUAGUGCUGCAGCAAACGCAUUAAGCACUCCGCCUGGGGAGUACGGUCGCAAGACUGAAACUCAAAGGAAUUGACGGGGGCCCGCACAAGCGGUGGAGCAUGUGGUUUAAUUCGAAGCAACGCGAAGAAACCUUACCAGUCUUGACAUCCUCUGACACCCUAGAGAUAGGGCUUCCCCUUCCGGGCAGAGUGACAGUGGUGCAUGGUUGUCGUCAGCUUCGUGUCGUGAGAUGUGGGUUUAGUUCCGCAACCGAGCGCAACCCUUGAUCUUAGUUGCAGCAUUCAGUUUGGCCACCUCCUAAGGUUGACUGGCGGUGACACCGAGAGGUUGGAUGACGUUCCAAUCAUCAUGCUCUUAUGACCUUGCUUACACGUGCUCAAUUGGGCCGAACCAAAUGUCAGCGUAAGUGCCUCGCAGGCCUCUAUAGC
rnacentral:rRNA from 1 species